GAGUUGUAAGAUAAUUUUUUACUAUGGCAUUUCACAACACAUAUGGCCUGCACUUCUAAGGGUUAGGUUCAACAUUAUGUUGUUAAGUCUGGUAGCAAUCUUGAGUCCUGAUGAAUCAUACCUAUCUAAUUCACUAUUAUCUUCCUUUAUUAAACUAAAUAAAAAAAAUAAAAAUAAUAAAAAAAAGUGAAUUUAGUCAGGUACAUCGAAAAGGGCUACCUAUUGUCAAAGGUCAUCGGAAUUGUGAUGAUGAACCCGAGCAUAGGUCUGUAGGGGAGUCUUGAUGCCCAACACCUUAUGCCAUCUGGUGUGGGAGUUGUUGACUAAAUGCUCGCUACAUGGAGGAAUCAUUACAAAAGUAAAAGUACAUAAUUUAUUUAUAAAUACAAAAAAAAAAAUAAUAUUGACCUUGAAAAAGACGAUAGUGUGAAAGCCAUCGUAAAAAUUCAAGUAAACUGGAAUAUUACAGAUAAAGCCCAUGAGGUAUUAAAAUAAAUAUCCACAACUCUCGAAAUCCCGCAAGAUAGAAUGAUUUUGAAUCAGUGAUUAUGUCUUAUCUGACCAAUUCUUGGAAACUGCUAGCUUUAGCAGUAUUUUGGGGAAUCUAAAGUCUUAGCUUGUGUAUGGUCCAGAUAUCACCGAGCACCCAAGUAUAAAUGAGCCUUACAACUCCCUAAUGGAAACUUAAUAACUUCAACUUAAGUUGCAUACUAACCUAGGAUUUGGCUGACUUAGUAAUUAAAACUUUGUGUGCUUUUGAAAUUCUUAGCACUUAUGCAUUUGAAAUUAGAUUUUAUGAAAUAAUAAAAUAAACUCUUUGGGUAGAGACAACAGUUUGUGGGUAUCUGAACCGGAAAUCCUCACGAGACAAAACUCGUCCACUAGGGCCACCUAGGGGUUUAAAGCCUUAUUGCAUACGGUAAAUGCAAUCGCGAUUCCUGCGAAAGUGAGUUUUUUUUAUUUUGCUCGAGAACUAGCAAAAUGUAGGUUGGGGGGUGUGAUAAAUGCUAAAUAAUGUAUAAAUAAAUCUAUUUUACAUAGCACUUAUUAGUAUUUUUAUAUAUAUACUUUAUGUUUAAACAUGAGAAAAUAUGUUCACCUUCAUCAAUGCAUUUUAAUUCGAUUUUGAUUAUUGAUUAAGCCUAAUGUAUGCAGGUCGAGUCAAGCUCAAUAAGAUAAAGCCUAAACCUACACUGCAUCAUUUCAUAAUUCCACAUCCUCCGGAGUCGACUCCAAGAACUCUCCUCCAAAACCCAGUGCUUCCCAUUAAUUCUUGUCUCUUCACAAGUUCCCCUAAUUCUCUUCCCACACUUUUCAAUCAUUUAUUUCUCAGAUCUCAAAGUAUAUCAUCUAUUCAUCUAUAGUUGCACAGAUCUCAAAAAAUUCUAGUCUUUAGCCUCUUCCCAGCCGAAUAGGAUUAAUUCCCCUGCUUCAAACAGUUCAAUUCCCAUCUUCCAACCAAGCCAAAUCAAAUCCACGAAUUAUCUCCCUUGCUCUACAUUCGCAUGGGAUCACCCGUCCAAAGAACCCCCUGUUUCUCCGAGCAAAUCCUUCUCCCCGAGCAUCACGGAAGAGCUCGCUAUCCGCAUCCCUUGCAUCCGCAACAAUCCCACGCUCAUCCCGAA
rnacentral:lncRNA from 1 species